AGAGUUUGAUCCUGGCUCAGAAUCAACGCUGGCGGCGUGCCUAACACAUGCAAGUCGAACGAGAAAGUGGAGCAAUCCAUGAGUAAAGUGGCGCACGGGUGAGUAACACGUGACUAACCUACCCUUGAGUGGGGAAUAACCUAGGGAAACCUGGGCUAAUACCGCAUAACACCUACGGGUCAAAGGAGCAAUUCGCUUAAGGAGGGGGUCGCGGCAGAUUAGCUAGUUGGCGGGGUAAUGGCCCACCAAGGCGGUGAUCUGUAUCCGGCCUGAGAGGGCGCACGGACACACUGGAACUGAAACACGGUCCAGACUCCUACGGGAGGCAGCAGUGGGGAAUUUUGCGCAAUGGGGGAAACCCUGACGCAGCAACGCCGCGUGGAGGAUGAAGUCCCUUGGGACGUAAACUCCUUUCGAUCGGGACGAUUAUGACGGUACCGGAAGAAGAAGCCCCGGCUAACUUCGUGCCAGCAGCCGCGGUAAUACGAGGGGGGCAAGCGUUGUUCGGAAUUAUUGGGCGUAAAGGGUGCGUAGGCGGUUCGGUAAGUCUUAUGUGAAAUCUUCAGGCUCAACUUGAAGUCUGCAUGAGAAACUGCCGGGCUUGAGUGUGGGAGAGGUGAGUGGAAUUUCCGGUGUAGCGGUGAAAUGCGUAGAUAUCGGAAGGAACACCUGUGGCGAAAGCGGCUCACUGGACCAUAACUGACGCUGAUGCACGAAAGCUAGGGGAGCAAACAGGAUUAGAUACCCUGGUAGUCCUAGCCCUAAACGAUGAUCGCUUGGUGUGACGGGUACCCAAUCCCGCCGUGCCGAAGCUAACGCGUUAAGCGAUCCGCCUGGGGAGUACGUCGCAAGGCUGAAACUCAAAGGAAUUGACGGGGCCCGCACAAGCGGUGGGAGCAUGUGGUUUAAUUCGACGCAACGCGAAGAA
rnacentral:rRNA from 1 species